rnacentral:rRNA from 1 species
UACGAAGAGGGCUAGCGUUGCUCGGAAUCACUGGGCGUAAAGCGCACGUAGGCGGAUUGUUAAGUCAGGGGUGAAAUCCUGGAGCUCAACUCCAGAACUGCCUUUGAUACUGGCGAUCUCGAGUCCGGGAGAGGUGAGUGGAACUGCGAGUGUAGAGGUGAAAUUCGUAGAUAUUCGCAAGAACACCAGUGGCGAAGGCGGCUCACUGGCCCGGUACUGACGCUGAGGUGCGAAAGCGUGGGAGCAAACAGGG